AACGAACGCUGGCGGCAGGCCUAACACAUGCAAGUCGAACGCCGUAGCGAUACGGAGUGGCAGACGGGUGAGUAACGCGUGGGAACAUACCCCUCGGUUCGGAAUAACUCAGGGAAACUUGAGCUAAUACCGGAUAAGUCCGAGGUUUUAAUCGACCUUGGAGAAAGAUUUAUCGCGGGAGGAUUGGCCCGCGUCUGAUUAGCUUGUUGGUGAGGUAAUGGCUCACCAAGGCGACGAUCAGAGCUGGUCUGAGAGGAUGAUCAGCCACAUUGGGACUGAGACACGGCCCAAACUCCUACGGGAGGCAGCAGUGGGGAAUAUUGGACAAUGGGCGAAAGCCUGACGACAGCGACGCCGCGUGAGGGAUGACGGCCU
rnacentral:rRNA from 1 species